rnacentral:lncRNA from 1 species
GUAAUAUUCUUCUUUUUUUUUUUUCUUUAAACUUAGUCCAAAAAUAGUGAACAUAAUUUGAAUGUCAACAUGGUCUGUCAUAGGUCUCACUUCCACCUUUGAUAUUUAUGCAUUUAAGCAUGAGUUGAAAGGGGAGCUUGGUCCUAAAGGACAGAAGGGAGAACCAGCAGAAGGUUACUAUGACCCUCAUCAUAGUGGAGCACAAGGUCCACCCGGAAGACCUGGACCACCGGGCCCUAGAGGAGAAUCUAUUAAUGGCCCUCCAGGACGUCCAGGGCCCCCAGGGCCUCCUGGAACCCCACGGAAUUGGUUAUGA